rnacentral:rRNA from 1 species
CCUACGGGAGGCAGCAGUGGGGAAUAUUGGGCAAUGGAGGAAACUCUGACCCAGCGACGCCGCGUGCGGGAUGAAGGCCUUCGGGUUGUAAACCGCUUUCAGCAGGGAAGAAGCGAAAGUGACGGUACCUGCAGAAGAAGCACCGGCUAACUAUGUGCCAGCAGCCGCGGUAAUACAUAGGGUGCAAGCGUUGUCCGGAAUUAUUGGGCGUAAAGAGCUCGUAGGUGGUUCGUCACGUCGGAUGUGAAAUCUGGGGCUUAACCCCAGACCUGCAUUCGAUACGGGCGAGCUUGAGUAUGGUAGGGGAGUCUGGAAUUCCUGGUGUAGCGGUGGAAUGCGCAGAUAUCAGGAGGAACACCAAUGGCGAAGGCAGGACUCUGGGCCAUUACUGACACUGAGGAGCGAAAGCGUGGGGAGCGAACAGGAUUAGAUACCCUGGUAGUCCACGCCGUAAACGGUGGGCACUAGUUGUGGGGACCUUCCACGGUCUCUGCGACGCAGCUAACGCAUUAAGUGCCCCGCCUGGGAGUACGAUCGCAGAUUAAACUCAAUGAAUUGACGG